GGCGACGACCGGCGCACGGGUGCGUAACGCGUAUGCAACUUUCCUUAUACAGGAGGAUAGCCCAGGGAAACUUGGAUUAAUACUCCAUAAUGUCACCAGGUCGCAUGGCCAGGUGAUUAAAACUCCGGUGGUAUAAGAUGGGCAUGCGUAGGAUUAGCUAGUAGGUAGUGUAACGGACUACCCAGGCAACGAUCCUUAGGGGUUCUGAGGGGAUUAUCCCCCACACUGGUACUGAGACACGGACCAGACUCCUACGGGAGGCAGCAGUGAGGAAUAUUGGUCAAUGGGCGCGAGCCUGAACCAGCCAUCCCGCGUGCAGGAUGACGGCCCUAUGGGUUGUAAACUGCCUUUUCUACGCCAAGAAAGGCCCGUACGAGUACGGGAUUGACGGUAGCGUAGGAAUAAGCAUCGGCUAACUCCGUGCCAGCAGCCGCGGUAAUACGGAGGAUGCAAGCGUUAUCCGGAUUCAUUGGGUCUAAAGGGUGCGCAGGCGGGCUUGUAAGUCAGUGGUGAAAUACUGCCCGCUUAACGGUAGAAUUGCCCAUUGAUACUGCGAGUCUUGAGUAUGGUUGAGGUAGGCGGAAUGUGCAGUGUAGCGGUGAAACUGCCUAGAGAUUUGCACAGAACGCCGAUUGCGGAGGCAGCUUACUAAGCCCAUAACUGACGGCUUGAAGGAACGAAAGCCGUGGGAACCGAACAAGGAUUAGACACCCGUGGUAGCCCCACGGCUGUAAACGAGUGCCACCGCGCCUGGUCGAGACACACAGAAGAGCGGCGUGAGCGAACGCAUUAAGUGCACCACUCGGGAGACACAGAGCGCAAGCUGCUGACACAUCAAAGAGGUAGUUGACGGGCCCCCACAACAAGCGGAGACACAUGUGGUUAUACGAGAUUGACACGCGAGGCACCUCACGGGCGCUUAUAUGUGGCCUCGCAUGAAGGAGAUACACUUCUUUCCCGCGGGACUGCACAAGAGGUCCGGCAGGGUUGUGCGCCAGUCUCGUCCCGUGAGUUGUCGGGUUAAGUCCCAUAACGAGCGCAACCCUUAUCGUUAGUUGCUAGCAGGUAAAGCUGAGGACU
rnacentral:rRNA from 1 species